AUGCUGCCGGCUGGCGUCAAGUUCAAUCCCAUGGAUCAGGAGCUGAUCGAGCACCUUGAGGCCAAAGUGAGUGUUGAUAGCGCGAGAUCUCAGUCUCUCAUCGAUUUGUUUAUACCAACCAUCGACAGCGAGCACGGCAUAUGCUACACCAAACCUGAGAAACUUCUAGGUAUCACACUGAGUGGCCUAAGGAAGCAUUUCUUCCAGCGCAAUUCCAGGGCGUUCAAAAGGGGCACGUGGACGCGUCACAAGAUACAGUCGGAGUGCGGCACGCACGCGAUGUGGCACAAGACCGGCAAUACCUUGCCUGUGAUGGUCAACGGCUGGCAGAUGGGGAGCAAAAAAGGUUCUGGUGCUGCACACCAACAAGAACUUCGACCAGCAGAGGACCAAUUGGGUGAUGCACUAGUACCACAUCGGGGACCUGGAGCAAGAGAAGGAGCGGGAGCUGGUCCUCUGCAAGAUUUUCUACUAGACGAACACUAUGGCCAGGAGUAG
rnacentral:rRNA from 1 species